AGAGUUUGAUCCUGGCUCAGGAUGAACGCUGGCGGCAUGCCUAAUACAUGCAAGUCGAACGAGAGGAAGGAAAGCUUGCUUUCCUGAAUCUAGUGGCGAACGGGUGAGUAACACGUAGGUAACCUGCCCAUGUGCCCGGGAUAACUUCUGGAAACGGAUGCUAAAACCGGAUAGGUAGCAGACAAGCAUUUGACUGCUAUUAAAGUGGCCUUGGCCAUGAACAUGGAUGGACCUGCGGUGCAUUAGCUAGUUGGUGAGGUAACGGCCCACCAAGGCGACGAUGCAUAGCCGGCCUGAGAGGGCGGACGGCCACAUUGGGACUGAGACACGGCCCAAACUCCUACGGGAGGCAGCAGUAGGGAAUUUUCGUCAAUGGGGGGAACCCUGAACGAGCAAUGCCGCGUGAGUGAGGAAGGUCUUCGGAUCGUAAAGCUCUGUUGUAAGAGAAAAACGGCACUCAUAGGGAAUGAUGAGUGAGUGAUGGUAUCUUACCAGAAAGUCACGGCUAACUACGUGCCAGCAGCCGCGGUAAUACGUAGGUGGCGAGCGUUAUCCGGAAUGAUUGGGCGUAAAGGGUGCGUAGGUGGCAGAUCAAGUCUGGAGUAAAAGGUAUGGGCUCAACCCGUACUGGCUCUGGAAACUGAUCAGCUAGAGAACAGAAGAGGACGGCGGAACUCCAUGUGUAGCGGUAAAAUGCGUAGAUAUAUGGAAGAACACCGGUGGCGAAGGCGGCCGUCUGGUCUGGAUUCUGACACUGAAGCACGAAAGCGUGGGGAGCAAAUAGGAUUAGAUACCCUAGUAGUCCACGCCGUAAACGAUGAGAACUAGGUGUUGGGGGAAUAACUCAGUGCCGCAGUUAACGCAGUAAGUUCUCCGCCUGGGGAGUAUGCACGCAAGUGUGAAACUCAAAGGAAUUGACGGGGGCCCGCACAAGCGGUGGAGUAUGUGGUUUAA
rnacentral:rRNA from 1 species